UACAGAGGUCUCAAGCGUUGUUCGGAUUCAUUGGGCGUAAAGGGUGCGUAGGCGGCGCGGUAAGUCGGGUGUGAAAUCUUGGAGCUUAACUCCGAAACUGCAUUCGAUACUGCCGUGCUUUGAGGACUGGAGAGGAGACUGGAAUUUACGGUGUAGCGGUGAAAUGCGUAGAUAUCGUAAGGAAGACCAGUGGCGAAGGCGGGUCUCUGGACAGUUCCUGACGUGAGGCACGAAGG
rnacentral:rRNA from 1 species